rnacentral:lncRNA from 1 species
AAACAGUUCGAGGUAGCACAGUUUCAAAAAUCAGAUUAAGACUAUUGCCUUCUUAUUUAAGGUUUUUUUUUUUUUAAUUCGUGUGUGUGUGUGUGUGUGUGUGUGUGUGUGUGUGUGUGUGUGUGUGAUCCAGUAGCUGCAUUUAAAAUGAGACAGGGAAAUGAGCUGAGCUGAUUUUGUGGAGUUCAUUUAAUAAAUCAGAAAAUGGCCAUUCCAAAAUCCUAGAGAAUCAUAGAACAAGAAGAAAAAGAGAACCUGGGUCCCUGGAUGACAUGGAGAGAAAAUGCUUACAUGUUCUGCAGGCUCAUAGGAAGAAGGAAUUUGCCUUGUCUUGGCUAAGACUGGACUUUGGGUUUUUGAGUUAACACUGGAAUGAAUUAAGAUUUGGGGGGAUUACUGGAAAGCAUGAUUGUAUUUUGAAAUAUGAGAAGAACAUUAGAUUCGGGAGGGGCCAGGGAUGGAAUUAUAUGUUUAGAUGUGUGUUCCCACCCAAAUCUCAUGUUGAAAUGUAAUCCCUAAUGUUUGACGGGGGGCUUGGUAGGGGGUGAUUGGAUCAUGGGGGGGGAUUUCUCAUGAAUGGUUUAACACCAUCCCUUGGUGCUGUCCUCAUAGUAGUGAGUGGGUUAUCAUGAGAUCUGUUGGUAUAAAACUGUGUGGCACUGUCCCCCACUCUUUGCUCCUGCUUUUGCCAGGUAAUGUGCCUGCUCCCCUGUUCCUUUCUGCUAUGAUUCUGCUUCUGCUUCCUGAGGUCUCCCUAGAAGCAGAUGCUGCUGUGCUUCCUGUACAACCUGCAGAACCAUUAGCCAAUUAAAG